rfam:Salmo salar isolate Sally breed double haploid chromosome ssa21, whole genome shotgun sequence.
UGCAUUCGCUACUGUAAGUCGCUCUGGAUAAGAUCAUCUGCUAAAUGACUAAAA